UACGUAGGCAGCGAGCGUUGUUCGGAGUUACUGGGCGUAAAGAGUGCGUAGGCGGUGCUCUAAGUUUGGUGUGAAAUCUCCCGGCUCAACUGGGAGGGUGCGCCGAAAACUGGAGUGCUCGAGUAUGGGAGAGGUAAGCGGAAUUCCUGGUGUAGCGGUGAAAUGCGUAGAUAUCAGGAGGAACACCUGCGGUGUAGACGGCUUACUGGACCAUGACUGACGCUGAGGCACGAAGGUCAGGGGAGCAAACGGG
rnacentral:rRNA from 1 species